CUGGUAGUCCACGCCGUAAACGAUGAGUACUAAGUGUCGGGAUUACUCGGUACUGAAGUUAACACAUUAAGUACUCCGCCUGAGUAGUACGUACGCAAGUAUGAAACUUAAAGGAAUUGACGGGACUCCGCACAAGCGGUGGAUCAUGUUGUUUAAUUUGAAGAUACACGAAAAACCUUACCAGGUCUUGACAUACUCUGCAAAGCUAUAGCAAUAUAGUGGAGGUUAUCAGGGAUACAGGUGGUGCAUGGUUGUCGUCAGCUCGUGUCGUGAGAUGUUAGGUUAAGUCCUAAAACGAGCGCAACCCUUGUCAUUAGUUGCCAGCAUGUCAUGAUGGGCACUUUAAUGAGACUGCCAAUGAAAAAUUGGAGGAAGGUGAGGAUCACGUCAAAUCAUCAUGCCCCUUAUGAUCUGGGCUACAAACGUGAUACAAUGGCUGUUACAAAGAGUAGCUGAAACGCAAGUUUAUAGCCAAUCUCAUAAAAGCAGUCUCAGUUCGAGAGUGAAGUCUGCAACUCGACUUCAUGAAGUUGGAAUCGCUAGUAAUCGCGAAUCAGUCAGUUGAGGC
rnacentral:rRNA from 1 species